rnacentral:sRNA from 1 species
UCACUAAUGAGUUGAUAUGCUGAGAUCAC